AACGAACGCUGGCGGCGUGUUUAAGACAUGCAAGUCGCACGGGAUAAGACAUGUAGUAAUACUUGUUUUAUUUAGUGGCGCACGGGUGAGUAACACGUGAAUUACAUGCCCUAUAGUGGGGAAUAGCCCAGGGAAACUUGGAUUAAUACCCCAGGGUAUCGAAAGAUUAAAGGUGGCCGCAAGGCUGUCGCUAUAGGAUUGGUUCGCGCCCUAUCAGCUUGUUGGUGAGGUAACGGCUCACCAAGGCAAUGACGGGUACCUGGUCUGAGAGGACGAUCAUGCACACUGGAACUGAGACACGGUCCAGACACCUACGGGUGGCAGCAGUCGAGAAUAAUUCACAAUGGGGGCAACCCUGAUGGUGCAACGCCGCGUGGAGGAUGACGGUCUUCGGAUUGUAAACUCCUGUCAUCUGGGAGAAAGACCUGACGGUAAAUAGCCGGCAGAGUUGAUAGUACCAGAAGAGGAAGGGACGGCUAACUUCGUGCCAGCCGCCGCAGUAA
rnacentral:rRNA from 1 species